UCCCGGGUGGCUCAGACGGUUAAGAAUCCGCCUGCAGUGCAGGAGACCCAGGUUCGAUCCCUGGAUCGGGAA
rnacentral:tRNA from 1 species